rnacentral:rRNA from 1 species
GACCAUCUCCUAAGGCUAAAUACUCUCUAGUGACCGAUAGUGAACCAGUACCGUGAGGGAAAGGUGAAAAGCACCCCGGAAGGGGAGUGAAAUAGAACCUGAAACCGUGUGCUUACAAGUAGUCAGAGCCCGUUAAUGGGUGAUGGCGUGCCUUUUGUAGAAUGAACCGGCGAGUUACGAUUUGAUGCAAGGUUAAGCAGUAAAUGUGGAGCCGUAGCGAAAGCGAGUCUGAAUAGGGCGUUUAGUAUUUGGUCGUAGACCCGAAACCAGGUGAUCUACCCUUGGUCAGGUUGAAGUUCAGGUAACACUGAAUGGAGGACCGAACCGACUUACGUUGAAAAGUGAGCGGAUGAACUGAGGGUAGCGGAGAAAUUCCAAUCGAACCUGGAGAUAGCUGGUUCUCUCCGAAAUAGCUUUAGGGCUAGCCUCAAGUGAUGAUUAUUGGAGGUAGAGCACUGUUUGGACGAGGGGCCCCUCUCGGGUUACCGAAUUCAGACAAACUCCGAAUGCCAAUUAAUUUAACUUGGGAGUCAGAACAUGGGUGAUAAGGUCCGUGUUCGAAAGGGAAACAGCCCAGACCACCAGCUAAGGUCCCAAAAUAUAUGUUAAGUGGAAAAGGAUGUGGCGUUGCCCAGACAACUAGGAUGUUGGCUUAGAAGCAGCCAUCAUUUAAAGAGUGCGUAAUAGCUCACUAGUCGAGUGACACUGCGCCGAAAAUGUACCGGGGCUAAACAUAUUACCGAAGCUGUGGAUUGUCCUUUGGACAAUGGUAGGAGAGCGUUCUAAGGGCGUUGAAGCAUGAUCGUAAGGACAUGUGGAGCGCUUAGAAGUGAGAAUGCCGGUGUGAGUAGCGAAAGACGGGUGAGAAUCCCGUCCACCGAUUGACUAAGGUUUCCAGAGGAAGGCUCGUCCGCUCUGGGUUAGUCGGGUCCUAAGCUGAGGCCGACAGGCGUAGGCGAUGGAUAACAGGUUGAUAUUCCUGUACCACCUAUAAUCGUUUUAAUCGAUGGGGGGACGCAGUAGGAUAGGCGAAGCGUGCGAUUGGAUUGCACGUCUAAGCAGUAAGGCUGAGUAUUAGGCAAAUCCGGUACUCGUUAAGGCUGAGC